rnacentral:rRNA from 1 species
AAAAACAUGUCUUUUUGAAAAUAAUAUAAAGUCUAACCUGCCCACUGAAAAUUUUUAAAGGGCCGCGGUAUAUUGACUGUGCAAAGGUAGCAUAAUCAUUUGUCUUUUAAUUGAAGGCUAGAAUGAAUGGUUGAAUGAAAUAUUAACUGUCUCAUUUUUAAAAGUAUAAAAAUUUAGCUUUUUAGUUAAAAGGCUAAAAUAAAUUUAAAGGACGAGAAGACCCUAUAGAUCUUUAUAUAAUAAUAUAUUAUAUAAUUUAGUAAAAAAUUUAAUAUAAUUUAUUAUUAUAUUUUGUUGGGGUGACAGGAAAAUUAAUAAAACUUUUCAUAUAGAAAAACAUAAAUUUAUGAAUAAUUGAUCCAUUAUUAGUGAUUAUAAGAUUAAGUUACCUUAGGGAUAACAGCGUAAUUUUUUUAGAGAGUUCAUAUCGAUAAAAAAGAUUGCGACCUCGAUGUUGAAUUAAAGGUUAUUUCUAGAUGCAGAAGUUUAGAGUUUAGGUC